CGUGGGCAAUCUGCCCUUCACUCUGGGACAAGCCCUGGAAACGGGGUCUAAUACCGGAUAACAUCCCCGCCCGCAUGGGCGGGGGUUAAAAGCUCCGGCGGUGAGGGAUGAGCCCGCGGCCUAUCACCUGGUUGGUGAGGUAACGGCUCACCGAGGCGACGACGGGUAGCCGGCCUGAGAGGGCGACCGGGCACACUGGGACUGAGACACGGGCCAGACUCCUACGGGAGGCAGCAGUGGGGAAUAUUGCACAAUGGGCGCAAGCCUGAUGCAGCGACGCCGCGUGAGGGAUGACGGCCUUCGGGUUGUAAACCUCUUUCAGCAGGGAAGAAGCGCAAGUGACGGUACCUGCAGAAGAAGCGCCGGCUAACUACGUGCCAGCAGCCGCGGUAAUACGUAGGGCGCGAGCGUUGUCCGGAAUUAUUGGGCGUAAAGAGCUCGUAGGCGGCCUGUCACGUCAAUUGUGAAAGCCCGGGGCUUAACCCCGGGUCUGCAGACGAUACGGGCA
rnacentral:rRNA from 1 species